rnacentral:lncRNA from 1 species
UGUUGUUUCAAUUGGUAUUGAUUUUAUGUUCUUUAAUUUUAGGCACCCAAGCUGCAAAACAAAACAAGCUUCAUGUUCAGUAACUCCAUGUACCAACAAGGAUUCUCUAUGGAUUCACCAAAUAAUGGCCGUUUUGAAAAUACGGGCAUCUCACCUAUUCUCUCUCUGUUGCAGCAGCAUUGGAAAAUCCAGGAGGUGGAAUGCUCAAACAACAGAUGUGCAGACCAAAAGCAGUGAAAUUUACAGCUCUGAUUCUGAUGGCUGAAAGAAAACCAACACUGACCUUCAAGAGUUUAGGGUAUAAAUAAAGAGUUUUAGAAUUAUGCA